UACGAAGGGUGCAAGCGUUAAUCGGAUUUACUGGGCGUAAAGGGCGCGUAGGCGGUUCGUUAAGUCUGUCGUGAAAUCCCCGGGCUCAACCUGGGAAUGGCGAUGGAUACUGGCGAGCUAGAGUGUGUCAGAGGAUGGUGGAAUUCCCGGUGUAGCGGUGAAAUGCGUAGAGAUCGGGAGGAACAUCAGUGGCGAAGGCGGCCAUCUGGGACAACACUGACGCUGAAGCACGAAAGCGUGGGGAGCAAACAGG
rnacentral:rRNA from 1 species